AAAUAAAGAAAAAAUUGUGAAGAAGAAGAGCACACCACAAGGAUGCGGUGGUGGUGCUAAAUACUCAAUCCUGCUGCAGAGCCCCCUCAACUUCCUGUUCUAAAAUAUUAUUAUUUUAUUGCAAUGCAACGUUCAUGAAAUUUUCCAAAGUUCAUUUCAAUAUUAUAUACUUGUAGCAUAUUUCUGGCUUCUUGAAUUGACUUUUGGCUCAUGUAUUUAAUAUAGCUUGUUCUAUUUGAAGAAAUGAAUUCAAACGGGAAGGUUAUGGGAGAGGGAACUGGGGACUACCAACUGAUGAACUUGCCCAGAUAACUGACGAAGUAAAUGAAACUGCUAAGAAUUUUGGCGAAGAAAAGCCUAGGUGAUAAUGAUGUUGCUGCUUAUGGAAACAAGGAGAACCCUGCUAAUGAGACUGAAGAAAAAGAGCCUGAGGAUAAGGAAAUGACUUUGGAGGAAUAUGAAAAAGUACUAGAAGAGAGAAGGAAGGCUUUGCAAGCACUUAAAACUGAGGAGAGAAAGGUGGAUACCAAAGUUUUUGAAUCCAUGCAGCAGCUUUAAAACAAGAAAGACGAUGAUGACAUCUGUAUUAAGCUGGGAUCUGAUAAGGAUAAGAGCAAAGACACUCUUGAGAAGGAAGAGAAAGCCAAGAAGGUGUGACUUUGUUGCUCUUGUCUUAUAUUUACUGGUGAAUUACGUUGUGUUUUAAAUUGUUACGACUUGUACUUGUAUUUUAUCUUACUGCUUGUGCUAUUUUUCCAUUGGAUUGUAUGGAUUAUGGUUGGAAACUCUUCUAUUUUUUUUUGUUGUUUUUGCUUCCAUUUCAUCCUUAUGAUGAUCUGUAAGAUUGGCAGCUUACAUGUGGUAUAUUUCUUCAUUACUUUUGACUGUUGUGCACAUGACCCUGUUUUUUUUUGUCUUUUACAUACAUUUCUUCUAUUUUUUUUUUUUUUUGUCUUUUGCAUAUAAUGA